rnacentral:rRNA from 1 species
AAUUCCUACGGGACGCAGCAGUGGGGAAUAUUGCACAAUGGGCGAAAGCCUGAUGCAGCAACGCCGCGUGAAGGAAGAAGGGUUUCGGCUCGUAAACUUCUAUCAACAGGGACGAAAGAAAUGACGGUACCUGAAUAAGAAGCCCCGGCUAACUACGUGCCAGCAGCCGCGGUAAUACGUAGGGGGCAAGCGUUAUCCGGAAUUACUGGGUGUAAAGGGUGAGUAGGCGGCAUGGUAAGCCAGAUGUGAAAGCCUUGGGCUUAACCCAAGGAUUGCAUUUGGAACUAUCAAGCUAGAUAACAGGG